CUCUCAAACAAUAAACCUUUCAGAAUUAUUCCGCCAAGUCAAAAUGACUACAGCCGUAAAAGUUGACACCUACGUGUUCUUUCGUUAAAUGCUUCUAAAUUAAGCACUAAAUGCACGAUAUCCGCUUGCACUAAACCUAGUUAGUUUGUAGUGAAGCUAACAAGUUUGUGUGUUCCCAAGGUGGUGAUACCGAGCCUUUAUAACACUAACUGCAUACUUCAGGUGACAGGGAAAGUGGUGAGGAGACAGAGGAGUCCCCCCUCGCUAGCAAGUUGACCUCAGGGCCCGCGCGCGCCUCUAUUGCCAUUCGCUGAUCGAUCGCCAACGCGGCAACACUCUCUGCAAUACUCGUUCUAAUAAAAAUGUAUACUCUUUAAAUUAACAUAAAACUGUAUUGUACUUUUCUGGCCCAAUUUAAAAUGUAUAUUUUUACGCGUGACAAAAUUACCGUAAUUGAUUCUAAAAUUAAUAUUUAGCUGGUCAUCUUUAAAAUUAUAAGUAAACAUAUAUUGAAUCAUGUUAAGAGACAAAUAUGGUAAUUUUAAUGUUUUCUUGAUAAUUUGAUAGUAUUUUAGGAUGUUAUUUUUGUAUUGUGAAAAUUAAUUAAUCCUUAGUAAAUAGGAAUUGCAAUAGAUAUCGUCUUCCACUUGUAAGCGAACACUGGAGCUUUAAUAUAGUUCAUAACUGUAUCUAUACUAAUUUAUAUACGUAAAAAGGUGCUAAGUUUUAGAUUUGAUAAUAUAAGAUUUAUAUAGAGAUUAUAUUACCUGUUUACAUUAAUUCAAACUAGCAGAGGUAUUAAUUUUGAAGCCUAAAUACUUGAUACAGCCUUAAUACAGACUUGUGUUUCAUAAACUAUAAUCUACCGGUUUGUAUUGCACGGUAAUACAAGAUUUUUUAAUUAAAA